AUAAAACUUCAGUAACUAAGUACAUAGAUCUAGACCUAGAUCUAGAUCUAAAACCUUUUUAAAAAUGAUAAAUCUCAAAUGAUUAUGUCAUAUCUUUCUUAUAGACUUAAGUCAGACUCAGACUAACUUUAUAGUAUACUAGAGUUAUUAGAGUCUAUAGUAACUAGAUCUAUCCAUUAUCUAGAUGAAUCAAGUCUUGCUCUUAGUCUUAAUCACACUUAAUUGACUUAAUGCACAUUUAGAUCUAGAAUCUAAUUAAAAUAUUGAUAUCACAAUUUAAUAAUUUAGGGGCCUAAAUCAGAAACUGCAUGGAAAGCUACUUAAUACGUAACCCAUGUAAUUAUUUGUAAUAUAAAAACAAAACGAGAAGAGCUUGCAAAAAAAUAUGGGCCAAUGCUCUAACUCUAGAUCUAGCAUUUUGUUAUAAAGUGUUUGUCAUUCAAAAAUGAAUUUCAGGCAAAUACCAUAAUAUCUUAAGAUUUUAACAAACCUUAAGUAAGAAGCAUGUGUAAAUAUGACAUAUAAGAGUGAUAUAUAAUAUUUGAUUCUGUUUUACAAAUAGAAUUAAAUGCAAUGCAAUGACAAACGUCCAUUGUUAAUGCUUGUGUAGCCUACUGUUAUAAAGUUUCACUUUCAGACCUUGCCAUCUAUAGGGCAGAUGAUGCAAAGUUCAUCUGUUUUUUUUGUGGCCUACAUUUGGCAAGGGUGUAAUGUGGCAAGCACAAGGAGCAACCGCCUUUACUUUUCCUAACUAAUGUCAGGUACCCAUUAGAGCUAGGUGUACUCGGAGGCGCCCAAAGUCGCCAAAGAUCCCAAAAUUAAAAAUCACUGUCUUCACCAGUAUUUGAACCCAGGACCCCAGUUCGGAAUGUACUGUUAUAAACACUAUCAUUUUUUGUAAAUUAAAAAAAAAAAAAAUCGUCUUGGAAAAAUAUGUAUCAUUUAAAAUUCAAAAACUACUUAAAUAAAAAAAUGUGUCAUAAGUUUAACCAUGGAACUAUCCAUGGUUUAACUUGUUUACACUAGAGCGAGUACAGCUGGCUGAGUGAGAAAUGUAAAAAUUUAGUUGUUAACCUGUUGGAUCAAUGCAGAACCAACAAAGAGGUGAUUGGAGCUUUACAUGGUGGCACCAAUACUAGAAACUUGUCUCAGAAAAAAAAAAAUUAGUACUUUUUUUUUUUUAUUGUAUUGUAAUCUAUAAAAUAUUUAGUAAACUUAAUUUUUUUGUAGUUUUUUUUUUUUUUUUUGUCAUAACAAGAUGUUUGUAAACUAUUUCAUAUGAAUUGGUUGACAGGUUAAAUUAGGAAACAGAUGGUAAAAAUGCUUUAUUUAUUUGAAAAUUUAGUAUGAGUAACAUUAUUUAUGUGACAUAUGCUACAAAUGCUUGUAGUUUUUUUUUAUUUCAUAGUUUCAGUUUAACAACCAGCUACAAAUAAUUGCAUUUAUUUAGCAGCUCAUUGCCAAUGCAAACUGCCAAGAACAUCUAGCCAGCAUGUGGUAUGUUGGUGCCAGCAUGUGGUAUGUUGGUGCCAGCAUGUGGUAUGUUGGUGCCAGCAUGUGGUAUGUUGGUGCCAGCAUGUGGUAUGUUGGUGCCAGCAUGUGGUAUGUUGUUGCCAGCAUGUGGUAUGUUGGUGCCAGCAUGUGGUAUGUUGGUGCCAGCAUGUGGUAUUUUGGUGCCAGCAUGUGGUAUGUUGGUGCCAGCAUGUGGUAUGCUCAUUGCCAAUGCAAACUGCCAAGAACAUCUAGCCAGAAUGUGGUAUGCUGUUGCCAGCAUGUGGUAUGCUGUUGCCAGCAUGUGGUAUGUUGGUGCCAGCAUGUGGUAUGUUGGUGCCAGAAUGUGGUAUGCUGGUGCCUCUUGGUUUCAACAUCGAAACCUUCCUAUUAAACGUGUUCUGGUGCCUACAGGAAUAUUGCCAACUCAUUGAUGCUUAAAUGAGUCCACACUUACUCCACAAAUUUUAUCUAAAGCUUUGUUUUCUGUUGCCAGUGUUUUGCAAGAAUAGCUUACAACCUUCCAGCGAGUGAGACAUUUGGGCAGUCACAGAUUUCUCAUGGGCGGAUGUUACAGAAUGUCCAAAAGAUUAGUCAGCUAAGGAGCCUAAAAUGUUGGCCUGUUUACAAAUUCUUUGACUACACAAGUACCUGACAGAAGAAGGCUACUCACUUGUGUUUGGAUAUGUCAGCCGUUUUGGUAAUAAAUCAAGUGUUGUUUUUUCUACUCUCUCUAAUGUUUGUAGGUUCUAAAGUUAGAAAGUGUUGUUGUUUUUUAAUGCCACAUUGCCUGUCAAUUCUGUUUAGUUUUUAUUUAUUCUUUUUUUAUACAGUCCAUAUGGCCCCUUUCAAACACAACAGAUAUUAUUCUAAGCAACUUUUUUCUCUGGGAAUUAUUCAACCAUAGAAGCUGUGAGGGAUAUCUGAAAUCCAUUGCUUACUUGUCUAGAAAGACUUCCAUCCAUUGAGUGAUAAAAGAUUAAGUGUACACAACUUUUAGUAGUCACCUCAUAACACUUAACAUUUUGAUGCUCAAGACAAUACUGUUCAUGAAUGGUUUAGUUUUCUUUAUACUGAGAGUGUCCAAGAAAGAUAAGGUCAAAGGUUAAUUGGAGUUUGUUUUUUUUUAUUGCUGUGAUGCUAUUAAAUUUCCCUUGUGUUUUUGUAUGAGUUUAAAAACAUUACCCAUAUUAUUUGUUUUACAAAUGUAGGACAAACAAGUUAAUAAACUUUGUCUUUGAAUCUGAAAUUGUAAAACUUAUAGAGAAAAAAAAAACAACUUACAGUGUUGUUGUUUUUUUUAAUUUACCAGGUACCUACUAUUCAUUUACUUUGACUGUUGACUUUAAGUUAGAAAUUAAAGAAAGAUUUCUUUGAGCUAUAUUUGUCAAUGACCAUAGGCAUUAAGAGAGUUGACACCUCAUUUUAAUUUUCAACAAGAUGAUGUCUUAAAGAAAUAAAGAGCUUUUGAUGGAAUUCUGUGGUUGAAGUAAGUAAAGUAAAUCACAUGAUUCCAUCAAAAUCAUUGCAAAUUGAAUAUUGUUGGUAGAGUCAAUGUUAUUAAGUUUACAUCAAGUAUUUAAUAGUAUAGUUCUUAGUGCUAUCUCAUUAUUCAUUUUCUAAUGACCAGGCAGUGUUUUAUACCAUGAAUGAAUAUCUGUUUAAGAGGUUUAGGGGAUACAACCCUAUCCAUAAUAUCUUUUACAAUAAAAUAUUCUGAUCAAGUUUAUAUUUUUGGAACAGAAUAUGCUAAUGUUUUGUUUUUUUUAGAAUAACAACUAAUACUUAGUUUUAUCCCUUUGCAUCUUUCUACAGUAGAUGCACUGUCAUACUAAAUAGAAAUUUGAAAAAAAUUAUUAUAACUUCUAAUCAAAUUGUCUCCCUUUUAAAAUCAAAUAUCUAAAUGAAUCAUGCUACUUUGAUUCUACACAAUCUUACAGGACUACCAAUGUACAUUAGUUUUGAACAAAAAGUUGCUAACUUUAAAUAAUUGAUUAACUCAUUUUGAUAUUUAUGUAUACCUUGUAAUAAAAGUGGCAUUCAUUUUACAA